AACGAACGCUGGCGGCAUGCCUAACACAUGCAAGUCGAACGAGACCUUCGGGUCUAGUGGCGCACGGGUGCGUAACGCGUGGGAAUCUGCCCUUGGGUUCGGAAUAACAGUUGGAAACGACUGCUAAUACCGGAUGAUGACGUAAGUCCAAAGAUUUAUCGCCCAAGGAUGAGCCCGCGUAGGAUUAGCUAGUUGGUGAGGUAAAGGCUCACCAAGGCGACGAUCCUUAGCUGGUCUGAGAGGAUGAUCAGCCACACUGGGACUGAGACACGGCCCAGACUCCUACGGGAGGCAGCAGUGGGGAAUAUUGGACAAUGGGCGAAAGCCUGAUCCAGCAAUGCCGCGUGAGUGAUGAAGGCCUUAGGGUUGUAAGCUCUUUACCCGGGUAUGAUAAUAGACAGUACCGGGAGAAUAAGCUCCGGCUAACUCCGUGCCAGCAGCCGCGGUAAU
rnacentral:rRNA from 1 species